rnacentral:lncRNA from 1 species
GGUUAAUAUGUGAUGUUUUCCUUCGGUGCUGUUUAGCCCCAGUGUUCUUUGGAGUCCGGGGAAGUUUGGCCUUUAAAAAUCAAACUGCCAUGGACACUGCUUUACCCAAAAUUUUGGUUCAUAUUCUUCACUGGAUUAACUAUUGGGGCAAACAACGUAUAACCAUGUAAAACCAGUACGCUUGUAUUGGCAUUUCAUGGCUAGAGUUCUAAGUCACAAGCACCUCUUCGGCAAAGCCCACCUCCCUCUCUCGCUUGAUUCCCCGGCCAUCCUUAUCAAAGACCUUCCAGGUGAACAGGCAGCCAUCCUCAGCAGCAGUCAGCAGGAACUGAUCAUCAAAGCCAGUAGACAAGAUUUGACUCUGGAGGUGACGUCUGAGCCAAUAGGUAUUUGGAGUCUGGAGAAAAAGC